GAUUUAUAUAUCUUUUUAAUGAUUUUUCAGUUUUCUACUUUUCUCUUCUCUUCUCCUUCACUCUAGCUUUUUGUUUCCUCUCGUAAACUCAACUUUCUCCAACUCUCUUUCUUUUCUUCCAUUGAUUUUCUGUAUUUUAUAAUCAAUUUGUUUUUUUUUAUAAAUCAUGAUAAUUGCUUUUUCAAUCUUAAUAAUUUUCUUUUUUUUUCCUGUGAAUGUUCUAAAAUAAAAUUGUUCGUGUUUAAGAAGAUGACUUGGUAAUAAUUUAAUAUCAAAAGAAAAACUGGAGAAUUUUAAACUCAUGACUAUGUUUCUAUAACGGUCAUGAAUACUAUUCUAUAACGGCUAAACAAAACGUGUAACUGUUACAUCGUUUGGUAGAUGUUACAUGAUUUGGAUAUAUGACUUGUUAGAUGAUACAUUGUUUUGGGUAAAUGAUUUGUUAGUUGUUACAUUAUUUAUUACCAGGUAUACAAUUUGUUAGCUGCUAAGAAGUGACUUGUUAGAUGAUACAUUGUUUUGGAUAAUUGAUUUGCUAGUUGUUACAAUAUUUAUUACCAGCCACACGAUUUGUUAGUUUGUUACAUUAUUUGUUAUUAACGGCUAACUAACGAUGUAGCAUUAAAUAUAUUUUGUACCAUAUGUAUUAUUAACGUCUAACAAAGUAUGUAGCGAUACAUAUAUUUUAAUAUUAUAUAGCAUAUUGUUUUGAUCAUAACUCUAUAUACAAAUACAUUUUCACAUUUAUAUAUAAUUGUAUAAAGUAUAAUAAUCAAAAUAAGUCAUAUAUUAAUAUAUUAAUAAAUACUAAAGUAUUGAAUAAGAAAAAAAGUUGAGUGUUCAAAAAAAAUGUGAUCAUCUUUAAAAAAGUUGUAAAGAAAAAGCUGUCAAAACAACUGUUGAUUAUGUUGUGUGUGUCAGUGGACCCAGCUGCGUGUGUCAGUGGAUUUAGCUCAGUCAGUGGGUGGAUCUGAGAAAAAGGGUAAUUUCGUCUCUUCAUUUCGUUUGAGGUAAGCUUUGAGCCUCCACUGUCACUUCGUUCCCAUUAUUUUAUAACGGGCAUGCGUUUUGUAUAUCCACUUCAUUGUCCCUAUAAUAAAUGCAAAACAGAAUAUAGAGAAACUAGAUUAUUCGAUUUAACUAAAAUCACGGUUCAAAGGAUUCAAUCAACUAAUCAUAUUAACGUGUGCAACACCCACAUAAUAUCUUGGGCUUUCAAAUUGGUAACUGAAUUUUCCUAAUAUUAAAAAUAAAAGAUAUCGAUAAUAUAUUGCACAAAAUCUCGUGAGAUACGAUCUAGAGUAUGCCCCAAAUUUCCCCGAGAAUCUAAAUUUUAAAGUGAGAAAUGGGGUUACAUAUACAAAUACUAGAACAUCUUUACUACAUAUAGGUUUUUUUUUUUGGUAAAAUGUUAAAUACUACAUAUAGGUUCAAUUCGCCAUAUUAUAUUUUUUCUGUCCAUAGACCUUACCACUUGGCUAUGCCACCAAAAUGAAGCUCAGACUUGUAGAUGCAUUCAAUGCUCUCAAGGCCUAGAAAUGUUUUUAGUUUUUUUGUUUUCUAGAAAAAUAUAAUAUUAUGGGUAUAAAAAAGUUUGGCACAGAAAAUAUUUAGAUCGGAGACAGAAAGUAGCGAAAGAGAGAAAAAGUAGCGAAAGAGAGAGAAAGUAGAUCUCCGGCGAACGGCCGGCGCGUGAGCGUGCGUGCCGUCGCCGGAGACCGUCAUCCUUCAGUAAAAAGUCCCCGAUUGUAUUUCACCCUCGUUUCUAACGGCUUCCGCCUUGCCUGAGCUCUGGUCAGUCACCCGAGGUGGUGGUUCUGUCACUGGUGUGAAGACGCGAAGGUCUAAAGGAGCGGAGAGGUAAAGAUGUUUGUGUUUUUUUGUCCCGGGAGGUGGAGGCUUAGUUAGCUCCGCCGCCGCCGGUUCUAGUCGCUGGGAGGCGGAAGGUACUAUAACUUCGUCGUCGUCAGCUCAAGUCCCCAGGAGGUUAAUACUCCGUCAGUCUUACGUCGCCGGCUUCAGCGUCUCGAGGGUGGUUGUCUGCUCGAGUAUGGGCUCUGGUCAUGGAGCGGAAGAGGUUUCUUCGGGUUAUGAUUUUUAGGGUUUGUAGCGUCGCCGUCGGAUGAGCUCUCAACAGGGGGAGGAUGCUCUCCGACAGGGUCUCAGUGUGGUGAAGAAGAGAUGUGGUUGCGGUGGAGGCUCGAAGGGAUUCAGAGCUCCGCCGAAUCGAGGGUUUUCAGCGGUUGGGUACGGCGGUUUGGUAAGGCGGAGACGGUCGGGUUGAGGCGGAGUGACGCGUGGCGCACUGACGGUCAAGAUCUCCACACGUGGCGCGCUUCUGCCUCCUCGACGCACGCGUUUCCCAGAGUCGGUCGGUGCUGGGUUCGAGUAGGUGGGCUUGGGCCUGUUAAGCCAAUUUGGGCUUAGGGUUUUCUCUGGUUUGUUUGGUUGGCCGAUUAGUAAUGUGGGCCUCUGUAUGUGGGCUUCGGCCAUUGGGCUUGGCCCGUAAUCUUUUAUAAAAUCAAAAUUUGAUAGGAAAAAAAAAUAUUUAGAUCGGAUAAAUUUUGUUUCAUUUUCAAAUUUUUCUUAUUUUAUAAUAUAUAUAAAAUGAAGCAUUGGUUCGUUCCAAUUUAAUUACUUCUUUUCAAUUUUAAUGAAUUUGUUGCAUAUUUUAAAUAAAAUAUUUUUAAAAUUUACAAUUUCUGCUCAACAGCAUUAAUUUUUCGUGCAAUACUUGUUUGUUAAAAGAAAGCCUAUUCUCUGUCCUAGAAAAGCGUCAAAGCUAUAUUUAAUGGCCCUAAUCAUAUGAUGCUUUAGUCCAUUGUUGAUUCUCAGUUUAAAGUGGAAGUGAUACAUAACAUACCAGUCAGGUCAUCUGUUGGAAUCAGUUUAUCUGAUCUGAUUAAAUCAAAUCACCAGAUACCAUAGCAAACGCAGAAGCAUUACUCACACGCACAAUUGUCUCAUCUUAAGCACAGACCAGUAGUAGUCAAACGAAGGUUCUCCCAAAAAUAAGUUUAUAAAAAAGCUUCAAGUCAAAUUUUAAUGUUUACGAUGACAAUCACUAGUUUGAGCAAAAUAAACCACUUGAAACCAAACCUUGUGACUACCAGGCUUGUCAAUUAGCAUAUACUCACCAGUUUUAUAAUAUUUAUGUAUGAUAUUAUCAUAUAAGAUGUUUUUAACACUUGACUUCUAGUUAAUAAACUAUACAUCUAUGUUUCUAUGUUUGUAUCAUUUAAAUUAAUUAUAUACUAAUAUAAAAUAGAAAAAAUGAUUGUUUGGCUUAAUAAAAUUUAUUUAUGUGUUAGGACUAAUUUAUUUAUAUAUGUAAUAGUUACUAAUUUUUAAUUAUUUAAUAUAUAUUUGUUAUUUCAUAAUAUAUGAAAGAACAAAUAAUACUUAAAAUAAUAUAUAUAUAUAUAUAUAUAUUAUGUGCAUUACACAAAAGGUUAAAAAGACUCUUAACCUAGUUUGAUAGUAUUGUAUUACUAUCUAUUUUGCAAGGACCCCGAAGCUCAAUGGUAUAUAUAUGGUAAACUAUACUGUAUCAAAUAAUUUGUCCGUGGUAUCUAAUAAUUAACUGGUUAAUUGCUGGUUAGUUAUUGUACCGUUUGAUAUCAAGAAAAGAAGGAUCAAACAAAAAAGAUUGUGGAAGCAAAACAUAAGAUCCGUGAUUAGUGGAUUAAUAACAAAAUUUCUAGAAUUUGGAAGAUGCAUAUAUUUAUUUGUUUAUAUUGUCUUCUUGCCCGCAUACAAAUCUAGGACUGACUUUCUUUAGCUGUUCUUAUUUGUCUUUGUUCUACAAUGACAGGGUCGCUAGCACUUUGGUUAGGCUCGAGUCGCCUUGCCUUCAUCACGUUACUUGAUUUAAUGUUUUUUAAAUAAAACAUUAGGUAAGGUUCAUCACAUAUUCACAUUAUUACCCAAUUUGGCUGUUUUCGUGAAAAAUAUCAUUUUAUUCUACGAAAGUCGAAAAUAGAUAUAUUACGUAUGUGCACCUUUUUAUAUGAUUUGUAUUAUUUUCUACAACUUGCAUAUUUUGUGUGUGGUUAAAAUAAAUCAUAUAAACCAAUUCGUUCAUGGGAAAUUUUACUUCUACACUUUCUUUGGUACCACAUUUCAAGUAUACCACUAGUAUGGGGACAUUUUCACAAAUACACUUUUCAUUAAUGACCAAAAGACCAUACUAACCCUAACUUUAUCUCUCUCUCUCUCUCGCGAUCAUCUUCUUUUCCUCUCUCUUUCUCUCGAUCUUUUUUCUUCUUCUCUGCCUCCGAUUCACCGGAGAUCCACCGUCUCUCUCUCGCGAUCUUUUUUCUUCCUCUCUACCUCCGAUUCACCGGAGAUCCACCAUCUCUCUCUCAUUCCACUGGUUCUCUGCGGUUCACACUGUCGACUCCUACUUCUGUACAAGAUUCCCAACUGUUCCUGAGAAACUGUGUUCAAGCUUAUAUGAGAGCCACAACCCUGUCAGCACACAUUUGCUUCGAUGUACAAUGGUAAUCACCAUUUUCAUCAUUGACUUUUGUUUUUCUAUUAAAUCUUAUUGAACAAUCAUUGAGAUUUUUUUUUUGUUUUUUCUUGUGUCUUAAAUUGCAGAAUCUGUUCCCUUUAGCGAACUAAUCUCCUCUGAUUCCUUGAUUGUGAAACCUCUGUUUCUCAGUUGUUGAUUUUGUUCCAUUUACUUUUUUACUUGCUUUCUCUCUCACAUACAAAGACCAUAGCUUUUCCACAAGUUUCGUGGCAGAAAAUUUUCAGGCACUCUAUAUCAGAUUUUGAGUGUUUGGUUACUUUAACAGCCUGCUUCUGCUGAUGGAUCUGGAAACUGAAAAUUGAAUAGCUUCGGUUCUGUUGAGAGAAGCAGCAGAGUUGAUGAGACAAGCUGAAAAAGAUGGCGUCCGAGCUUAUCUUGAGAAGCCUAAUGUAAGGCAUCGACCUAACUCGAGGUUUCUCACAGCAACUGUCCUUGGUGUUCAAUAAUUUCAGUGUUGGAGAAGUCUCCGGAGGCGGCUUUAGAUGUGGAUCAGACGAUCUUUGUGGUUGUGGCGGAAGACGUGGAGAGGAGCAAAACGACGGUGUUAUGGGCGGCAAGAAACUUCUCCAGCAAGAAGAUUUGCUUGCUUUACGUCCAUCGUCCUGCUCGGCCUGCCUCCUGCAGUGAGAAUCUUUUGCUUCUCUUUCUUUUUGACUUAACUGUUUUGUGGUGAAUUAUAGAAUAUUUAUGGAUGUUGAAUUGUUCUUGAGUGUAGAUUUGCUCAUGAAUCAUGAUUGAAUCUUACCAAGUCUAUAUAUAUAUCCUUUAGUUGA